UCUGCCCUGCACUUUGGGAUAAGCCUGGGAAACUGGGUCUAAUACCGAAUACACCCUUCUGGCUGCAUGGUCUGGUUGGGGAAAGCUUUUGCGGUGUGGGAUGGGCCCGCGGCCUAUCAGCUUGUUGGUGAGGUUACGGCUCACCAAGGCGACGACGGGUAGCCGGCCUGAGAGGGUGACCGGCCACACUGGGACUGAGAUACGGCCCAGACUCCUACGGGAGGCAGCAGUGGGGAAUAUUGCACAAUGGGCGCAAGCCUGAUGCAGCGACGCCGCGUGAGGGAUGACGGCCUUCGGGUUGUAAACCUCUUUCGCCAGGGACGAAGCGCAAGUGACGGUACCUGGAGAAGAAGGACCGGCCAACUACGUGCCAGCAGCCGCGGUAAUACGUAGGGUCCGAGCGUUGUCCGGAAUUACUGGGCGUAAAGAGCUCGUAGGUGGUUUGUCGCGUUGUUCGUGAAAACUCACAGCUCAACUGUGGGCGUGCGGGCGAUACGGGCAGACUGGAGUACUGCAGGGGAGACUGGAAUUCCUGGUGUAGCGGUGGAAUGCGCAGAUAUCAGGAGGAACACCGGUGGCGAAGGCGGGUCUCUGGGCAGUAACUGACGCUGAGGAGCGAAAGCGUGGGGAGCGAACAGGAUUAGAUACCCUGGUAGUCCACGCCGUAAACGGUGGGUACUAGGUGUGGGUUUCCUUCCUUGGGAUCCGUGCCGUAGCUAACGCAUUAAGUACCCCGCCUGGGGAGUACGGCCGCAAGGCUAAAACUCAAAGAAAUUGACGGGGGCCCGCACAAGCGGCGGAGCAUGUGGAUUAAUUCGAUGCAACGCGAAGAACCUUACCUGGGUUUGACAUGCACAGGACGUGCCUAGAGAUAGGUAUUCCCUUGUGGCCUGUGUGCAGGUGGUGCAUGGCUGUCGUCAGCUCGUGUCGUGAGAUGUUGGGUUAAGUCCCGCAACGAGCGCAACCCUUAUCUUAUGUUGCCAGCGCGUAAUGGCGGGGACUCGUGAGAGACUGCCGGGGUCAACUCGGAGGAAGGUGGGGAUGACGUCAAGUCAUCAUG
rnacentral:rRNA from 1 species